rnacentral:lncRNA from 1 species
AACAAUUCAUUUCUUCCAAUUCAACACAAUUCAACAACAACAUCUCAACAUAAUUCAUACCCAAGUCAUGCAAUGAGAUCAUCAUCAACAAUUAACCACAACAACAACUUAUGAUCAUGCAUUCCAUCAUAUUUCAACAACAACAUGUCAUAAUUCACCAAUUUCACAAAACCACCAACAACAAUCCAUUUCUCAACAACAAAUCAUGAAUCAUGCAAACCCAAGCCAUGAAUUAUCAUCAACAA